AAUGAACGCUGGCGGCAGGCCUAACACAUGCAAGUCGAACGCCCCGCAAGGGGAGUGGCGCACGGGUGAGUAACGCGUGGGAAUAUGCCCUUCGGUUCGGAAUAACACAGGGAAACUUGUGCUAAUACCGGAUGCGAUCUACGGAUGAAAGAUUCAUCGCCGAAGGGGUAGCCCGCGUAGGAUUAGCUAGUUGGUGAGGUAAUGGCUCACCAAGGCGACGAUCCUUAGCUGGUCUGAGAGGAUGAUCAGCCACACUGGGACUGAGACACGGCCCAGACUCCUACGGGAGGCAGCAGUGGGGAAUAUUGGACAAUGGGCGAAAGCCUGAUCCAGCCAUGCCGCGUGAGUGAUGAAGGCCUUAGGGUUGUAAAGCUCUUUCGCCAGGGAAGAUAAUGACGGUACCUGGAAAAGAAGCCUCGGCUAACUCCGUGCCAGCCGCCGCUGUAACAC
rnacentral:rRNA from 1 species